ACAGCAGCCGCCGCGGUAAUACGGAGGGUGCAAGCGUUAAUCGGAAUUACUGGGCGUAAAGCGUGCGUAGGCGGUUCGUUAAGUCUGUUGUGAAAGCCCCGGGCUCAACCUGGGAAUGGCAAUGGAUACUGGCGAGCUAGAGUGUGUCAGAGGAUGGUGGAAUUCCCGGUGUAGCGGUGAAAUGCGUAGAGAUCGGGAGGAACAUCAGUGGCGAAGGCGGCCAUCUGGGACAACACUGACGCUGAGGCACGAAAGCGUGGGGAGCAAACAGGAUUAGAUACCCCGGUAGUCCCUGUCUCUUAUAC
rnacentral:rRNA from 1 species